UACAGAGGUCUCAAGCGUUGUUCGGAUUCAUUGGGCGUAAAGGGUGCGCAGGCUGUUGUGUAAGUCGGAUGUGAAAUCCCGGAGCUUAACUCCGGAACUGCAUUCGAUACUGCAUGACUAGAGGACUGGAGAGGAGAUUGGAAUUCACGGUGUAGCAGUGAAAUGCGUAGAUAUCGUGAGGAAGACCAGUGGCGAAGGCGAAUCUCUGGACAGUUCCUGACGCUCAUGCACGAAGGCUAGGGGAG
rnacentral:rRNA from 1 species